rnacentral:rRNA from 2 species
GUGGACGCCAGUCUGCGUGGAGCCGGCCUUGAAAUACCACCCUUUAAUGUUUGAUGUUCUAACGUGGACCCGUGAUCCGGGUUGCGGACAGUGUCUGGUGGGUAGUUUGACUGGGGCGGUCUCCUCCUAAAGAGUAACGGAGGAGCACGAAGGUUGGCUAAUCCUGGUCGGACAUCAGGAGGUUAGUGCAAUGGCAUAAGCCAGCUUGACUGCGAGCGUGACGGCGCGAGCAGGUGCGAAAGCAGGUCAUAGUGAUCCGGUGGUUCUGAAUGGAAGGGCCAUCGCUCAACGGAUAAAAGGUACUCCGGGGAUAACAGGCUGAUACCGCCCAAGAGUUCAUAUCGACGGCGGUGUUUGGCACCUCGAUGUCGGCUCAUCACAUCCUGGGGCUGAAGUAGGUCCCAAGGGUAUGGCUGUUCGCCAUUUAAAGUGGUACGCGAGCUGGGUUUAGAACGUCGUGAGACAGUUCGGUCCCUAUCUGCCGUGGGCGCUGGAGAACUGAGGGGGGCUGCUCCUAGUACGAGAGGACCGGAGUGGACGCAUCACUGGUGUUCGGGUUGUCAUGCCAAUGGCACUGCCCGGUAGCUAAAUGCGGAAGAGAUAAGUGCUGAAAGCAUCUAAGCACGAAACUUGCCCCGAGAUGAGUUCUCCCUGAGACUUAAAGUCUCCUGAAGGAACGUUGAAGACGACGACGUUGAUAGGCCGGGUGUGUAAGCGCAGCGAUGCGUUGAGCUAACCGGUACUAAUGAACCGUGAGGCUUAACCUUACAACGCCGAAG